rnacentral:lncRNA from 1 species
GUUCAACUUCAGGAUCUUAUUACUGGGGCUGGUUUCCUGGGACCACUUCUGCUCUUUCAGACAUUUACAUACCAGCAGCCCACUUGGUACUGACUUAUGUUUGUCAGCUUGGACAUCAGACCAGCAUGACUACUGAACUAGCCCUGGGGACUGAAGCAAACAUGACCUUGUGAAGUCUAGGAGCACAAAUGUCUACAGUAAGGAUGUAGUCAGAGGGAACUGUUCUUAAGAAGCCACUCAGAGAGAACCUGCAGAGAACAGAAGGCCCAUACAAAC